rnacentral:lncRNA from 12 species
UCUGACCCCGCCAGCCACGCCUCCGCGCGCCGCCGGCCGGCGCGGGCGGGGGUCGCUGCGCUCCAGUGCGUCUGCGCGGCCGCCGAGGCUCGGCUGCUAAACUCCAGGAGUGCGCUCCAGUGCGUCUGCGCAGCCGCCGCGGCUCCGGGUUGCUAGGCUCCAGGCCUGCGCUCCAGUGCGUCUGCGCGGCCGCCGCGGCUCUGGGCUACUGAGCUCCAGGGCUGCGCUCCAGUGCGUCUGCGCAGCCGCAGCGGCUCCGGGUUGCUAGGUUCCAGGGCUGCGCUCCAGUGCGUCUGCGCAGCCGCAGAGGCUCCGGGUUGCUAGGUUCCAGGGCUGCGCUCCAGUGCGUCUGCGCGGCCGCCGCGGCUCCGGGCUGCAGAGCUGCAGGGCUGCAGGGCUCCGGGGCUGCGCUCCAGUGCGGCUCCGGGCUGCAUGGCUCCAGGGAGACCCCGCCCGCCCGCGCUCUCCGCCUUCCUCCAGGGCCUUCUGAAACUGUAUCCAUCAAGGCUCACAUCUGUGGCUUCACAGCUGAUGGGAAACCUGGAUUCAGUCCCUGGCUCCACCUCCCACUAUCUCUCCUAUUAUCUCUGACCUUCGGUGACCGAUUUACCUUUUCUUGAGCCUCAGAUUCCUCCUCUACGAAAUGGAAAUAAUAAUAAAUCCUACCCCCUAAAGUUCUUAGGAGAAUUA